GAUGAACGCUGACAGAAUGCUUAACACAUGCAAGUCAACUGUGGCGGACGGGUGAGUAACGCGUAAAGAACUUGCCUCACAGAUAGGGACAACAUUUGGAAACGAAUGCUAAUACCUGAUACUGUGAGAGAGCUUUGCGUCCCAUUAGCUGGUUGGAGGGGUAACGGCUCACAAAGGCGAUGAUGGGUAGCCGGCCUGAGAGGGUGAUCGGCCACAAGGGGACUGAGACACGGCCCAUACUACUACGGGAGGCAGCAGUGGGGAUUAUUGGACAAAGGACCAAAGUCUGAUCAAGCUAUUCUGUGUGAACGAUGAAGUUUUCGGAAUGUAAAUUGCUUUCAGUUGGGAAGCGGUACCAACUGAAGAAGUGACGGCUAAAUACGUGCCAGCAGCCGCGGUAAUUC
rnacentral:rRNA from 1 species